CAAUGAUGAAAAAAGAAAAGAAAAAAUAAGAACAAAAAAUAUGAAAUAAGAGAAAAAUAAAAGAAAAAUAAGAAAAAGAGAAAAAAUGAAAAGAAAAAGAGAAAAAAUGAACGAAAUGAAUAAAAUAGAGAAAAGAAAAAAGGAAAUGAACAAAAAAGAGAAAAAAGAGAAAAGAAAAAAAUGAACAAAAAAGAGAAAAAAGAGAAAAGCUAAAAAAAGAAAAAAGAUAAAGAAAAAAGAAAAAAGAUAAAAUAGAAAUAAAAAAGAGGACAGAAAAAUAUGAAAAAAAAGAAAAAAGAAAAAAAGAAAAGAAAAAAAUAAUAGAUGAAAAAAGAGAAAACGAAAGGAAAAAUGGUUAAUGGCAAGAGAAGAAAGGUAAAGAGAAAAGAAGAAAACAGCCAAGUCAAAAAGUAAAGAAUAACUCGAAGGAAGGAGUGGAUGGCAAGAAAUACAGGGAAAGCAAUGCAUAGCACAGCAAAGCAAAGCAAGGCAAAAUAGCAGCCAAAGCCACGAGAAUCAAGAACUCAGUGAAGAGCAGGAAAGGAAUGGAGGAAUCUGGCCAGAGCUGUGCCCCUGCUUGCCACAGGAGCUGCGCAGGAGGAGAAGAAUGUGGGCCAAAAGGUGUUCCACUUUGGCUUUGUAUGACACAGUGGACGAGAGGGUACGGCGUUCAGUGGAACAAACGCUGCAGACCCUGGGGAGAAUCAAAGCAGGAGAGAGGAAACGUGCCCUUUGCAGCAGGGGCCGUUGUGCUGGCAUUACCCAUCGCAUCCACUGCUGCUGUGGUCCUUUCUUUCCUUUGGGCAGUUGGCUGUCUCUCAAGGUGUUGUCUACAAUAGGUGCUUGUUUGUGUAUCCAUGUGAGGCUGUUGAAUAAAAUUCCUACCUCUGUGUUCUGCUCUGGGUGCGUGGUUUUCUUGCCUCUGCUCCUGAGGCAUCCCGACUGUCGGAUCCAAACGUACCC
rnacentral:lncRNA from 1 species